GAUGAACGCUGGCGGCGUGCCUAAUACAUGCAAGUCGAGCGAACAGACGAGGAGCUUGCUCCUCUGACGUUAGCGGCGGACGGGCGAGUAACACGUGGAUAACCUACCUAUAAGACUGGGAUAACUUCGGGAAACCGGAGCUAAUACCGGAUAAUAUAUUGAACCGCAUGGUUCAAUAGUGAAAGACGGUUUUGCUGUCACUUAUAGAUGGAUCCGCGCCGCAUUAGCCAGUUGGUAAGGUAACGGCUUACCAAGGCAACGAUGCGUAGCCGACCUGAGAGGGUGAUCAGCCACACUGGAACUGCGACACGGUCCAGACUCCUACGGGAGGCAGCAGUAGGGAAUCUUCCGCAAUGGGCGAAAGCCUGACGGAGCAACGCCGCGUGAGUGAUGAAAGUCUUCGGAUCGUAAAACUCUGUUAUUAGGGAAGAACAAAUGUGUAAGUAACUAUGCACGUCUUGACGGUACCGAAUCAGAAAGCCACGGCUAACUACGUG
rnacentral:rRNA from 1 species